GGCUGGAUAGCUCAGUUGGCUAGAGCACACGGUUCAUACCCGUGGUGUCGCUGGUUCAAAUCCAGUUCCAGCUA
rnacentral:tRNA from 1 species